GUCGUUGUAGUAUAGUGGUGAGUAUUCCCGCCUGUCACGCGGAUGACCUGGGUUCGAUCCCCGGCACCGGCA
rnacentral:tRNA from 1 species